AUGAAGAGUUUGAACACACUUCCUCCGUUUUCCUCUUGUACUAUGGGUGUGGCAGACGAACUGUGUGAAGAGCUCUUCCGUUGGAUUGAUCAGCAGGAGCGAUGUGCAGAUCAUCUCAAGGCUUUGGCCACCGAGCUGGAGGACAUGAGGGAGGCGAUGACUGCAGGCCAGUUGGUGGGAAACACAGCUACUGUGCUUGGGUCUGCCACUCUUGUUGGGACAGGCAUUGCAACAAUUCUGACUGGAGGCCUGGCUUUACCCUCGCUGGCACUGGCAGCUGGAAUCACAGUCGGAGUGGGUACUGCAACUAGUCUUAUACUUACGCUUGUGGAGAAAUGGAAAUCUAGUGAAACAAUGAAAAAUGCAGAGAAGACUGCUGACAAAAUCAGGCAGAUUCAGAACAAUAUCGAAAGGCUCAAGGAGAAACUCCAGAAGGAGUGUGAGAAUGAAGCGUUUGAGGUGUCAUCCUCCGAUGACGUGCAGUGUGAAAUCACAGCGAGGAUCCUGAGAGCCUUGGCCAAACGCAGUGGUAGAGAUCUGCCCCUCAGUCGCCUAAGACACCUCUUGAGAAGUGAUGGCCCGUAUACACAUCACAGAUAUCCAGCGUUUAAUCCAGACUUCGCAUUCUUCUGCACCGUCAGUUCUUUAAUAGCAUACCUUGGAUAUUCUGCCAUCUUUCUGAAAACAGCAGCAACAAAAGGACAAAAAUAUUAUGCUCCACUUCUUGUGAAAGUUACUAAAGAAAUGGCUGAUGUUUCACUGAAAGCGUUGUUAAAGGGAACAGGCCAGGCCGCAGGAGGAAUCUUUGGGCUGAUAUUAACAUUUCCUGAUCUGAUUGAUAACUGUGAAGAACUGAUUAAAAACAAACAUCAGACUGAAGCUAGCACAUAUCUGAAGACAAAAGCUAAAGAAAUCCUUGAGACUGUGAAGAAAUUAAAAAAGCCAUUGAAUGAAUUGCAAGAGAUGCUCAAUCAAAUCCCUGAAAUGGAGUGUCACAUUGAUUUGGCUCAGGAGAUGUUUGGAUCUCAAAUAUACACACGAGGCACCAUCUGUAUGGAGUAUACACAGAGCCAAAAGCAGGACACGAAGACACAGGAGUUUAUUCUCCUAUGCACAAAAGACAUAGGAGUAACUAAGAAUUGUUCCACAGGACAACACAAAUCGGGUGACAACAAGAACAAACGACAGAAGAAGAAGGCUACUUCAACUAUAGACAGGAGUCUUAACCAGGAGAGGAAACUUGCUUUUCCGAGGAAACCACCACACAAGUCUAAAACAAAAGUAAAGAAAUUUCAGUUCCGCCUUCCUAAAAUAAUGAUGUCUAAUGUGCGUUCUCUUCCGAACAAAAUAGAGGAGCUCCAAGAAAUGAUGGAAGAUGUGGAAAACAUUAAUUCCGAUCUGAUGUUCUUCACAGAGACAUGGUUGAACAGGAACUCGCCCAGCAUUAGCUUCGAGGGAUAUAGGUCUUACCGGGUUGAUCGUGAUGCACGGCUAACUCAGAAACGUAGAGGAGGGGGAUUGAUGGUGCUUGUGAAUGAGGCCUGGGCGACUGAUGUGGAGGUGGAAAACAUCAUUAUAACUCCUGAUUAUGAGUUAAUGGUCGUGUCCAUUAGACCACAUGACCACCCUGAGGAUGCGCCACCACUUACCUUCAUCCAUGUGUAUAUCCCUCCAGGAACUAAUAUGAGUCAAGCAGCCAGAGACAUCGCUGGUGUUUACUAUGAUGUUCUGGAGCAGUAUCCUGGUGGUCCUGUUUUCUUGUUGGGUGAUUUCAACCACUGUGACAUCACUCAUCUCUUAGACCUGGAGCAAUACGUCACAUGCCCAACCAGAUACAGUAACACCCUGGAUCAGUGCUAUGGGAAUGUGCCAGGGGCUUAUAGAUCUGAAUGCAGUCCCCCGCUUGGCCGGUCAGACCACAAUGUCAUUCAUUUGAUUCCUAAAAAGAAGUCGGAUGGAAGUGACCCUUCCAAAGAUGAGAAGUGUACACAUGACAGUACCAAAUCCAGAAAGCAAUGAGAGGCUGUGCAGCAGUUCUCUGUUGUUGUCAUGUAGCACCAGGGUUUAGUUCCACUGUGUGCUGUGCUACUAUAUGGUUUGUUUUGUCCUAUAGAUGUAGGACAGUCUAACUACUUUCAAUUAACUUACUGAGUAUAAAAAGUCAUUGAGAAAGAAGGCGACAGGAUUGUAGUCAGAAAUGGUCUGAAAACUGGCACAACAAUGAGGAACAACAUGUGGAAAACGAAUUCUCCUUUGAAUGAAGAAAAUUAAAUGCUUGAUAUACUUUUACCCUGUUAGCCCACACCAGAAAGUGGGCAUCCUGAACGCCUCUCAACUCGCACGUGUCAGUGUUUAUGAAUAGAUAAAAUGAAAUGGGCCAAAUUUAAUCUCGACAAACUAUGUAUCAUUAUAAAGAUAUAAGCCUCAAGCAUUGACGACAGAUCGCUGUUUUUCAAUGGAAAGCUUAUAAAGACUGUAUUUGCUACAUUUGUGUAAGCAGUACACAUACAAACAUGAACAUUAGAAACGCUGUACAUACCAGAUCCGUCGUAAUAACGAGUCAUAAACACAUCAAGAGCUGUAAACCCCGGAUAAGUUAGAAAGAUAAGGGUCCACUGAACGACAUCUCAUGAAGCACGUUUAGUCCAACGAAGCAAUAACGUUGUAAUAUGGAUCAUAAUUCCUUUGUUUACGUUUCAUUUCUUCAGCGACAGAAUUGUUUGCGUCCGUUAUGGAAUAACUCACGGUCAGAAACUGCGUCUUGGUAGUAAAAACACGGCAUGGUUUUGCAGCGUACAGUGUCACAAACAGAAUGAGGCGAUCCACCGGAAAAAAGAAUGAAUUAAAGAUAUGCGAAAGAUUGUUUAUUUGAAUUUGGCGCUCCCUCGUGACGCGCUCUGACGCACCUGUCAGCUGAUGGAGGCGGAACUUACAGCGAUCGCUUUUUCCUUUCUUUCUUUUAUUUUUAAACAGUUUUUAUAUAUGUGAGAGUGUGUUUUAUGUUGAAUGUGAAUGUAUCUGCAUGAUUACCAUCUGUUUGAGUGCAAAUCAGCCCAAAUCAGCUCGCUAUUACAGUAUGAUCACGGCUAUCAAAGUGAACGCGUCUAUAUGAAUAGAGAGAGUGGAUUAUUUACUUUGUGUUAUUACCAUCUGUAUAAGUGGCCAUCAGCAAUUAUUUGCAUCGUAAUUCAUUGUAAAUGCUGCAUUUCUAGCAAUCUCACGAUUUUCUGUAAUUGGCAAACAAAGUUAAAUCUUUUUUUUUAUUUUUCUUAUUAUUCUUAUUUUUCUUACUCAAAUUAUUCUUAUUUUAAUUUUCUAGUGCUCAAAUAAAUCAUUUAUAUGAUGUCUAAGUUUCUGUCUAGUGUUUUAUAAUUGAAAAAACUAUGCAGUGGUAUGUUUACUGACUAAAUAAUUUGUAGAAGCCUUCAAUACUAUUGGGAAAUAUAUUUUCUUAUAUUUGUGGGGUGGGGGAUGUAGACAUAGUCUCAUAAAAAUAUUUGAAGGAGUCUAAUUUUUCAUGAUAUCUUAUUCAGAUUUGAAAUAGAAACUCAUAAGACAUUUGGCUUUGCUUUUCUAGGUUACUCCAGG
ensembl:lncRNA